GAUGAACGCUGGCGGCGUGCCUAAUACAUGCAAGUCGAGCGAACAGACGAGGAGCUUGCUCCUCUGACGUUAGCGGCGGACGGGUGAGUAACACGUGGAUAACCUACCUAUAAGACUGGGAUAACUUCGGGAAACCGGAGCUAAUACCGGAUAACAUGUUGAACCGCAUGGUUCAACAGUGAAAGACGGUCUUGCUGUCGCUUAUAGAUGGAUCCGCGCCGCAUUAGCUAGUUGGUAAGGUAACGGCUUACCAAGGCAACGAUGCGUAGCCGACCUGAGAGGGUGAUCGGCCACACUGGAACUGAGACACGGUCCAGACUCCUACGGGAGGCAGCAGUAGGGAAUCUUCCGCAAUGGGCGAAAGCCUGACGGAGCAACGCCGCGCGAGUGAAGAAGGUCUUCGGAUCGUAAAACUCUGUUAUUAGGGAAGAACAAAUGUGUAAGUAACUAUGCACGUCUUGACGGUACCUAAUCAGAAAGCCACGGCUAACUACGUG
rnacentral:rRNA from 1 species